GUUGCUUCUUCUACUGGAAGAGUGGCCUCUACUGGGCCAUUUCUCAGUGAGAAGCAUACAUUUAACUAUGCCAGUAUCAAACAGCAUGAUGCUUUCUAUUGUUGCAUUGUGUUACCUGUCUCCUGGUAAAUGU